rnacentral:rRNA from 1 species
CCUACGGGUGGCUGCAGUGGGGAAUAUUGGACAAUGGGGGCAACCCUGAUCCAGCCAUGCCGCGUGUGUGAAGAAGGCCCUCGGGUUGUAAAGCACUUUCAGUGAGGAAGAACGCCUGGUGGUUAAUACCCAUCAGGAAAGACAUCACUCACAGAAGAAGCACCGGCUAACUCCGUGCCAGCAGCCGCGGUAAUACGGAGGGUGCGAGCGUUAAUCGGAAUUACUGGGCGUAAAGCGCGCGUAGGUGGCUUGAUAAGCCGGUUGUGAAAGCCCCGGGCUCAACCUGGGAACGGCAUCCGGAACUGUCAAGCUAGAGUGCAGGAGAGGAAGGUAGAAUUCCCGGUGUAGCGGUGAAAUGCGUAGAGAUCGGGAGGAAUACCAGUGGCGAAGGCGGCCUUCUGGACUGACACUGACACUUAGGUGCGAAAGCGUGGGUAGCAAACAGGAUUAGAUACCCUAGUAGUC